rnacentral:rRNA from 1 species
UACGGGGGGGGCAAGCGUUGUUCGGAAUUACUGGGCGUAAAGGGCUCGUAGGCGGCCAACUAAGUCAGACGUGAAAUCCCUCGGCUUAACCGGGGAACUGCGUCUGAUACUGGAUGGCUUGAGAUUGGGAGAGGGAUGCGGAAUUCCAGGUGUAGCGGUGAAAUGCGUAGAUAUCUGGAGGAACACCGGUGGCGAAGGCGGCAUCCUGGACCGACAUUGACGCUGAGGAGCGAAAGCUAGGGGAGCAAACGGG